CUGCAGCCAAUUAAGUAAGUAGGCUGUGCUCUUUCCCUGUGGGGCUCAGUAUGCAAUGGCUGUGAACAGUAGCCUCCUUGGUAGUGUAUGCAGCCUGGUGAUUGUAUGGGUUGCCCUAAGGGACCUUGGAGACAGCC